AACGUUGUUGCAGUUAAAAAGCUCGUAGUUGAAGUGUGGGUGGUGCCAUCUGUGGAGCUUCGGCUUUUCAGAUGCUCACUACCCCCUUCCAGUAUCCAGUAGUGGGUAUUCAGUUACUUACUAUUGUGUGUUGGUCGUUUACUGUGAGAAAAUUAGAGUGUUCAAAGCAGGCGUUUGCUUGAAUAGAUUAGCAUGGAAUAAUAAUUGAAGGCUUUCGUGUUCGAUUUGAUUGGUUUGUUCAUGGAAGCAAGGUUAAAAGGAACAGUUGGGGGUAUUCAUAUUCACUAGUUAGAGGUGAAAUUCUCGGAUUUAUGGAAGAUGAA
rnacentral:rRNA from 1 species